UACAGAGGUCUCAAGCGUUGUUCGGAAUUACUGGGCGUAAAGGGUGCGCAGGCCGCGCGGGCAGUCAAAUGUGUAAUUCAGGGGCUCAACCCCUGCACUGCGCUUGAUACUUCCGCGCUCGAGCUUUGGAAAGGAGUCUGGAAUUCUCGGUGUAGCAGUGAAAUGCGUGGAUAUCGAGAAGAACACGUAGGGCGAAGGCAAGACUCUGGACAAAUGCUGACGCUCAUGCACGAAGGCUAGGGUAGCGAACGGG
rnacentral:rRNA from 1 species